CGCCCCUUGAAAAUUAUAUAAAUGUAUAGGGGGUAAUGCCUGCCCGGUGACAAUUUGUUAAACGGCCGCGGUAUUUUUGACUGUGCGAAGGUAGCGUAAUCAUUUGCUCUUUAAUUGGGGGCUUGAAUGAAUGGCAAGACAGAAGCCAUGCUGUCUUUUCUUUAAUUUCUUGAAUUUGAUAUUGUUGUGAAGAAGCGACAAUGUGGCCGUAGGACGAGAAGACCCUGUCGAGCUUUACUAAAGGUAGUUUUGUUUAAAUAUAUUUUAUAGGCUAAUUUUUUUAAGAAAAUAUUUUGUAAGUUACUUAUACGAAUAGAGGUUAUUAUAAAUUGUUAAUUUGUUUGGUUGGGGCAACCGCGGAGAAAAAAUAUCCUCCGUUUUUUACUAAAAAAAGAUACUGUUUUGUUGUAGGAAUAAAAACUAAUUUAACGAGAUCCACUGAUUUAGUGAUUAAUGGAAUAAGUUACCGCAGGGAUAACAGCGUCAUUCUUUUGGAGAGUUCAUAUUGAUAAGAGAGUUUGCGACCUCGAUGUUGGAUCGGGAUAUCCUAGGGGUGUAGCGGCUCCUGAGGGUUGGUCUGUUCGACCAUUAAAAUCCC
rnacentral:rRNA from 1 species